AAACCAACUGGGAUUACCUUAGUAACGGCGAGUGAAGCGGUAAAAGCUCAAAUUUGAAAUCUGGUACUUUCAGUGCCCGAGUUGUAAUUUGUAGAAUUUGUCUUUGAUUAGGUCCUUGUCUAUGUUCCUUGGAACAGGACGUCAUAGAGGGUGAGAAUCCCGUUUGGCGAGGAUACCUUUUCUCUGUAAGACUUUUUCGAAGAGUCGAGUUGUUUGGGAAUGCAGCUCAAAGUGGGUGGUAAAUUCCAUCUAAAGCUAAAUAUUGGCGAGAGACCGAUAGCGAACAAGUACAGUGAUGGAAAGAUGAAAAGAACUUUGAAAAGAGAGUGAAAAAGUACGUGAAAUUGUUGAAAGGGAAGGGCAUUUGAUCAGACAUGGUGUUUUUAAAUGUGUAAGUCUCUCGUGGACAUGUGCCUCUGGAAAUUAACACUGGGCCAACAUCAGUUCUGGCGGCAGGAUAAAUCAUUAAGAAUGUAGCUACCUCGGUAGUGUUAUAGCUUUUUGGAAUACUGCCAGCUGGG
rnacentral:rRNA from 1 species